AACGAACGCUGGCGGCAUGCCUAACACAUGCAAGUCGAACGAGACCUUCGGGUCUUGUUGCGAACGGGGGCGUCACGCGUCGGAAGCUUCCCUUAUGUUCGGAAUUACUCUUCGCAGGGGGUGAUAAUUCCGGAUAAUUUCUUCUAACCAAAGAUUUAUCGCCCUUGGAUGGGCCCGCAUUGUAUUUGCUAGUUGGUAGCGUAAAAGCCUACCAAGGCGACGAUCCAUAGCUGGUCUGAGAGGAUGAUCAGCCACACUGGGACUGUGACACGGCCCAGACUCCUAGAGGAGGCAGCAGUGGGGAAUAUUGGACAAUGGGCGAGAGCCUGAUCCAGCAAGGCCGCGUGAGUGAUUAAGGCCUGAGGGUUGUAAAGCAGUUUUACCCGGGAUGAUAAUGACAGUACCGGGAGAAUAAGCGCCGGCUAACUCCGUG
rnacentral:rRNA from 1 species